CGGUACCGAAAGCCACGGACGUGCCAGCAGCCGCGGUAAUACGUAGGUGGCAAGCGUUGUCCGGAAUUGGGCGUAAAGCGCGCGCAGGCGGUCGUCUGAUGUGAAAGCCCACGGCACCGUGGAGGGUUGGAAACUGGGGGACUUGAGUGCAGAAGAGGAAAGUGGAAUUCCAAGUGUAGCGGUGAAAUGCGUAGAGAUUUGGAGGAACACCAGUGGCGAAGGCGACUUUCUGGUCUGUAACUGACGCUGAGGCGCGAAAGCGUGGGGAGCAAACAGGAGAUACCCUGGUAGUCCACGCCGUAAACGAUGAGUGAGUGGGGGGUUUCCGCCCCGUGCUGCAGACGCAAGCACUCCGCCUGGGGAGUACGGUCGCAAGACUGAAACAAGGAAUUGACGGGGGCCCGCACAAGCGGUGGAGCAUGUGGUAUUCGAAGCAACGCGAAGAACCCCAGGUCUUGACAUCCCGUUGACCACUGUAGAGAUAUAGUUUCCCCUUCGGGGGCAACGGUGACAGGUGGUGCAUGGUUGUCGGCUCGUGUCGUGAGAUGUUGGGAGUCCCGCAACGAGCGCAACCCUUGAUCGUUGCCAUGUUGGGCAGGUGACUGCCGGUGACAAACCGGAGGAAGGUGGGGAUGACGAAUGCCCCUGACCUGGGCACACGUGCAAUGGACGAUACAAACGGUUGCCAACUCGCGAGAGGGAGAUCCGAUAAAGUCGUUCGUUCGGAUUGUAGGCUGCAACUCGCCAUGAAGCCGGAAUCGGUAAUCGCGGAGCAUGCCGCGGUGAAUACGUUCCCGGGCCUUGUACACACCGCCCGCACCACGAGAGUUUGUAACACCCGAAGUCGGUGAGG
rnacentral:rRNA from 1 species